AGGGUGAGCGAAUCCCUAAAGCCGGUCCCAGUUCGGAUUGUAGGCUGCAACUCGCCUACAUGAAGUCGGAAUCGCUAGUAAUCGCGGAUCAGCACGCCGCGGUGAAUGCGUUCCCGGGCCUUGUACACACCGCCCGUCACACCACCCGAGUCGAUUGCACCCGAAGUCGUCGGCCUAACCUUUUAGGAGGGAGACGCCGAAGGUGUGGUUGGUAAGGGGGGUGAAGUCGUAACAAGGUAGCCGUACCGGAAGGUGCGGCUGGAUCACCUCCUUUCUAGGGAGA
rnacentral:rRNA from 1 species